rnacentral:tmRNA from 1 species
GGGGGCGACCUGGCUUCGACGGGGGCAUGGAGGCCCUGAGACGCGUGCCGAGUGGGCUCAUCACACUCGUAAAUCCAAAUGGGCAAACCCAAAAAAGCCAACGACAACGUUGAGCUUGCGCUGGCCGCCUGAAAAACGGUUCACGCACGGUCGCCUGAGCUUCGGCUCGUGAGCUGAGGGUCGACCGAACCAAUGCGAGCUGGCCUCUCACCAGGACUGGAUGAGGAGGGGCGAGAGCUUCCCAGUCAGGCCAUCGCGGAGUCCGUCCGUGGACGACGAGGUGGCGUCAUCGAUUCGCGGACUACGCACGUAGUGGCUUAGAGCUGAAGGCUUUCGGACGUGGGUUCGAUUCCCACCGCCUCCACAA